AAACAUCUUUUAGCUUUUAGGAAAAGAAAAAAAAAGGCAAAAGAUGUUUGGUAAUCUUAUAAAAGCUACUUUUUAUAUAAGAAAAAAUAAACUUUUUGAAAAAGUUAGAGAAUUCUCACUUUUUGCAACUAUUUUUGCAACUUUUCCUAAAAGACUUUUACCUCAUCUCCACCGUUAUGUUCUUCAACCUUAGGGUUUCUGAAUGUGAAGACUUGAAGACUGAACGAGGUAAACAAUCAUUUCUUUUAUUGUGAUCACGAUGUUUUUUCGCUUUAAGAAACUGGAGAUGGGAUACCUCUUAAUCGAUAUUUCAUCUUUGCAACUGUAGUGGUAAGGUUGUCGUAGUUCUUUCCAUUUCCUUUCACGUAUGUCUCUUCUUUCCCCCUUUCCCAUUUCUUUAUUUUUGUGAUUUGUAUCAGUUCUAAUUAGUUUUAGUGAUGUAAGCUGAAUUUUUUUUGAUUUUUUAGGGGUUUACCCACCAAUUAUUUGUAUAUAUGUCUACAAUCAUUGCUUCCUUCAAUUGCAGAGUUCUAGACUUUAAAGAGCUUCAAGAAGACAAUCACGAAGAAAUCGACGGACUGGAACAUGGAUAGCAGCAGUGUCACAUCUAAUUGCACCGGGUUUAACUUACACACUAAUUGCACAUGUUGGAGUUUCGGUUGAACAUCCACAUCUCCAUCUCCAUGGCCAUGGCCAUGGCCAUUUUGAUGUCAUCGCCACCCUUAAACUUGAAUAUCAUGGAUCACAAACAAAGUAUAUGUAAAUCAUAAGGUAAAUGCAUAUUUCAGUCACUUGUGGGCCACUGUAUAUAUGAUUUACAAUUUCAGGAGUUGUUAGAAGAGUAAGCUUUUUUAUUUUAGGACUUCUGUUUCCAAAGAGAGAUGGGAGAAGUUAGAGGGUACAUUUGUGCUACCCGAGAAGCUUGACCGAGUUGUGUUAUAUUUAGAAGGGCCUGCCCCAAGAGUCAACAUUCUCAUAGAAUCCUUGGUGGUCACUUGUGCUACUUCUCACGUAAAUUCACCCUUCUUUUAAAUCACUUUGAAUUUAAUAAUCGUAUAUAUUUUCAACAAAUAAAAGAUAAAUAAGUCAUUUUUACAGGGUAUAGUUGAAAGAUAUGUUGUUAAAGAUGAAAACAUCAUAUUGAACCUUAACUUUGAACCAGUGGUUGAUUUGAUGUAGGUUUUUUACCUUGUUUAUUUUCAUUUCUCCUUUUUGUAGAUUUUUUUAUAGUUUAACAAUGAGUCUUUUUUGACAUUUCUAGGUAAAUAGCAUCGAGCAAUUAUGCAUUCAUUAUUCAAAUGAGAGAUUAAAACAACACCAUAAUCGUCAUUUGUUCAAGAUAGAAUAAGGGGCAACUAAUCUAAUUAAUCUUUUCUGGUAUAAUCUAACUAUUAUAUUCGAUAUUCGGUGUCUGAAUCAUGGUGUUCCUCUAUAAUGAAACCACUUAGGAAGAAUGUUGGACUUUGAUAUUGGUUGCAUCCUAGGCUACUCAACGUCUAGAUACUAAAAUGAACAUGAUUCUUUUGGCCAAGUCCAACCGGUUUCUGUACCUGGAGGUUUUGUCUAAGUCUUUCUUGCAACAUUUUUUUAAAUCUAAUGUUGUUUCUUGAAGAUGUAAUGAUAACUUUUUGUUUAAACAGUUGGGUUAAGAAGUUACAAACCGGAUGGUGUCUUUAUCUAUUAUUACUAUUAAGAGUUAAGACCUCAUUUUUUUUUUACCUUGCUAUCCUUUAACUAAUUUAUAUUGUAUUUUUUGUUUCUUUUAUAAAUAUUACCUAUGCUUCAUAAGAUCAUUUAACAUUAUAAUUUGGAUUUUUUAUUGUCUUUAUUAAGAAAAAUAAAACCAUGGAUUUUUUUAACUUUUUAAUUAUGGCCCAUCAAACAUUUUAAGAAUCUUUCUAUAGUUAUUACAUUUAGUGAAUUCAGCUUGGAACGAAACUUCACACUUUAAGAAACUUUCUAUAGUUUUAGGAAUAAGAUUUUUUUUUUUUUGACAUAGAGCAACUUUCUUAUAGUUUCCUAAAACAAAAAGCUUUAUGAUUUGAAAUAUUAAUUAUCUUCUCUAACUGCGUUUACCCUUAUUGUGUGAAUUUGUAAUUUUUGUAGGAUUCAACAAAAUGCGUUUUGUAGUUCUAAGAUGUGAUCCAAAAUUUAAUCGGGUAACUGUUGAGUGGAAGAACGAGGUUUGGAAACCCAAGUUUCUUUCAAUUUACUUUUGUGCUCUUUUAAGGCAUUUAGUUGAUUUGUGUACCAAAAGAUGGAGUAGUUUAUUUCCUUUUGGAAUAUUUUUUUUUAAUUUUAUUGUACUAUAUUUUAUGAGAAGAGAUGGUGUAUUGUUUACAAAGAAGCUGUUAACUAUAAUGGUAGAAAUAGCAUGUUGCUUUCAUUUUUGAUAUAAAAAAGAGCAUGGCUUCAUUUCUAAGUUAAAAAUAACACGUUCUUUUAUUUUUUAGGUAAAAAUAACAUUCCAUUUUUAUUUUUAAACCAAAAAUAGCAUGCUAUUUUCAU